UGUGUCCUGUCACGUCUCAGUUUCCAGCCGUAACUGAGAAAUAUGGGCAUCGACUCCUGGACUCCAGCAGCCUUUAAAGUCACAACGACAGAGGCAGCUUAUAUCUAGAAUCAGAGCUUAUAAGGUUGGCUUGUGAGGAGUCCACGAACCUGCUGGUGGGUAAGUUGGGAAGACGACACUGAGGACAGAGUUAGAAGAUGGCAUUACCCUGGUACCCUCAGCACAAUUUCAUAUCUGGCCCUCCUUCCGCAUACGCAGAAAUCCAGACCCAACCAUGCACCAGAGUUCCAGGGGUAGAAAGAAACCAAGGAAUUCCCAAGAGACCUGGGAACUGAGCCAUGUUCUUAGUUGGAAGAAACCCCAGUUCAAGACCAGGAACUCCUGUGGCAUAGUCCAGGUGGGCUGGAGUUUGCCAGAAGAUUCCCCAGCCCAGGGGCGCGGAGGCGGAUCAGAAUGCAAACAGAUUGAAGACAGGAGCUGUCCUUAGUGAAUCUGAACAGUGCCUAACUCCCGCGGAUAUUCACUGCGUGUUAAAUAACAAUAGUGAUCAUGUAAUAAUGAUGCCCAGUUCACUUGGGAGAGAAUACCAAAUAGCUUGGAAUUUUCCUGUUACUGGCAGCAUGGCCCAGGAGUAUCCUGAAGUGAAUUUAAAAACCUCAGCGAUUCAAAUCACAUUUACCAUAAGAAAUAAACCUUCUAGC